rnacentral:rRNA from 1 species
GACGAACGCUGGCGGCGUGCUUAACACAUGCAAGUCGAACGGGCCUGUCUUCUUUUUUGGGGGGUGGGUUGAGUGGCGAACGGGUGAGUAUCACGUGAGUAACCUGCCCUUCGGUCCUGGAUAACCGCUUGAAAGGGCGGCUAAUACGGGGUGGUCCGGUUGGUCCGCAUGGGCUGGUCGGGAUAGAUUCACUGUUUUUGGUGUUUCGGCGGGGGAUGGGCUCGCGGCCUAUCAGCUUGUUGGUGGGGUGAUGGCCUACCAAGGCGGUGACGGGUAGCCGGCCUGAGAGGGUGGGCGGCCACACUGGGACUGGGAUACGGCCCAGACUCCUGCGGGCGGCAGCAGUGGGGGGUAUUGCACAAUGGGCGGAAGCCUGAUGCAGCGACGUCGCGUGAGGGAUGGAGGCCUUCGGGUUGUGAACCUCUGUUUCCGGUGGUGAAGGCCCUGUCCGUGUGGUGGGGUUGACGGUAGCCGGGGAUGAAGCGCCGGCUAACUACGUG